rnacentral:rRNA from 1 species
GACGAACGCUGGCGGCGUGCUUAACACAUGCAAGUCGAACGGAAAGGCCCUGCUUUUGUGGGGUGCUCGAGUGGCGAACGGGUGAGUAACACGUGAGUAACCUGCCCUUGACUUUGGGAUAACUUCAGGAAACUGGGGCUAAUACCGGAUAGGAGCUCCUGCUGCAUGGUGAGGGUUGGAAAGUUUCGGCGGUUGGGGAUGGACUCGCGGCUUAUCAGCUUGUUGGUGGGGUAGUGGCUUACCAAGGCUUUGACGGGUAGCCGGCCUGAGAGGGUGACCGGCCACAAUGGGACUGAGAUACGGCCCAGACUCGUACGGGAGGCAGCAGUGGAGAAUAUUGCACAAUGGGCGGAAGCCGGAUGCAGCAACGCCGCGUGCGGGAUGACGGCCUUCGGGUUGUAAACCGCUUUCGCCUGUGACGAAGCGUGAGUGACGGUAAUGGGUGAAGAAGCACCGGCUAACUACGUG